GUGCUAGCUUUGGCAGCACAUAUACUAAAAUUGGAACAAUACAGAGAAGUUUAGCAUGGCCCUGCGCAAGGAUGACAUGCAAAUUCGCGAAGAAUACAGUAUUUAC
rnacentral:snRNA from 1 species